AUAGCUUUAAUGUCUCUCUGCUCUGUGUGUGUUACAGUGGAUUCUAAGUUGGUAAAUGGCUGUCUCCUCCUAUGCUAAAAGCCCGUGCUGUUGAAGGAACACCACCAGAAGAUGGUGGCCUGUGUGUCACCUUGCACUGCAGAUUGCUAAAAAACCUCAAAAAAUGGAAGAAGCACGUGUGGCUGGCUUACAAUUUUGUGAGCCUAACACAUCUACUGGCCCUAUUGCUGUGCCUUCAUGUCGACCUAUAGGAUCCAUUGCUUCCUUUAUGCUUUUGGGAAGGAUCAAAUCCGAUCUUUACUUCCCCUGGAACAAUUGUGCUUGCUUUACACAUGCCACCAAGCAGGUCUGUG